rnacentral:tRNA from 1 species
GCCUAGUUAGCUUAAGUUGAUAGUGCGUCUGCCUUGUAAGCGCUAGGCCGCGGGUUCGAUUCCCGCCCGGGGCG